UACAGAGGGUGCGAGCGUUGUCCGGAAUCACUGGGCGUAAAGGGCGCGUAGGUGGCUUGUUAAGCGUGUGGUGAAAGCCCUGGGGCUCAACCCCAGGUCUGCCGUGCGAACUGGCAAGCUGGAGCGUAGUAGAGGCAGGUGGAAUUUCGGGUGUAGCGGUGGAAUGCGUAGAUAUCCGAAACGGAACACCGGUGGCGAAGGCGGCCUGCUGGGCGUACUGCUGACACUGAUGCGCGGACAGCGUGGGGAGCAAACAGGG
rnacentral:rRNA from 1 species